AACGAACGCUGGCGGCAUGCCUAACACAUGCAAGUCGAACGAAGCCUUUCGGGCUUAGUGGCGCACGGGUGCGUAACACGUGGGAAUCUGCCCUUCGGUUCGGAAUAACAGUUAGAAAUGACUGCUAAUACCGGAUGAUGACGUAAGUCCAAAGAUUUAUCGCCGAAGGAUGAGCCCGCGUAGGAUUAGGUAGUUGGUAGGGUAAUGGCCUACCAAGCCGACGAUCCUUAGCUGGUCUGAGAGGAUGAUCAGCCACACUGGGACUGAGACACGGCCCAGACUCCUACGGGAGGCAGCAGUGGGGGAAUAUUGGACAAUGGGCGAAAGCCUGAUCCAGCAAUGCCGCGUGAGUGAUGAAGGCCUUAGGGUUGUAAAAGCUCUUUUACCAGGGGAUGAUAAUGACAGUACCUGGAGAAUAAGCUCCGGCUAACUCCGUG
rnacentral:rRNA from 1 species